AGUGAACGCUGGCGGUAGGCCUAACACAUGCAAGUCGAACGGCAGCACAGUAAGAGCUUGCUCUUACGGGUGGCGAGUGGCGGACGGGUGAGGAAUACAUCGGAAUCUACUUUUUCGUGGGGGAUAACGUAGGGAAACUUACGCUAAUACCGCAUACGACCUACGGGUGAAAGCAGGGGAUCUUCGGACCUUGCGCGAUUGAAUGAGCCGAUGUCGGAUUAGCUAGUUGGCGGGGUAAAGGCCCGCCAAGGCGACGAUCCGUAGCUGGUCUGAGGGGAUGAUCAGCCACACUGGAACUGAGACACGGUCCAGACUCCUACGGGAGGCAGCAGUGGGGAAUAUUGGACAAUGGGCGCAAGCCUGAUCCAGCCAUACCGCGUGGGUGAAGAAGGCCUUCGGGUUGUAAAGCCCUUUUGUUGGGAAAGAAAAGCAGCAGGUUAAUACCCCGCUGUUCUGACGGUACCCAAAGAAUAAGCACCGGCUAACUUCGUG
rnacentral:rRNA from 1 species